GUGUUACCCAAGAGGGUUGAACUAAUUUAACUCAAUAAAUACUUAGAAAAAACUAUAAUAAAUAGAGUUAACUACUAAUCAGCACUGCUAUGUGCUAGGCACUACCCUAAAUAUUUAACGCAAAUGAUCUAACUCAAUCUAUUUUAAAACCCGAGGUGGACCCUAUUAAUAUUUUCAUUGUAUAGAUGAGGCUCUGAGGCACAGAGAGAUCACUCAGUUAGUAAGUGGUAGAAUCAGGAUUCAAUCCAGAGCAGCUGACUCCAGAACCUACACGGCUAAACACAAGGAUACUGGAGUUGACUGCCUGGCUUCAAAUUCUGACUCCAUCUAGAGCACUUAGGUUACUGCCUGCCACCGGAGCAAAAGAUAGUUUUUCCCCACUUCUGCCAUCAAUUGAGAUUAGAGAAUCCACUCUGUCCUGAGACUGAUAUCCUGACAUGAUGAUGGAAAUAAUCAAGAGCCCAGUAGGGAAAGCUGCACAGGAAGAACAGAGAAAUAUUCCUAAUAUAUUAUCUCUGAGCCAAAGUCAUGGAAAUAGAUAAGAGCACCUUGAGGGAAUGUGGGAUGAGAAGAGAAGAGAAGAGAAGAGAAGAGAAGAGAAGAGAAG